AACAGCCGCCAGAGGCGCCGCGCCUCUCCUUCCUCCUCGCCGCCCCCUGCCGCGGCGCGCAUCCCUCGGAUCAUCGUGCCCAACUCCCCUUCGUGUUUCUCCUCCUCCCAGAACCACAUCCCGUCGCUUAGGCUCCUUGGUGGCGGCCGGCUCGAGGCGAGCCUGGCGCAGGCGGGGAGAAGCAGCGGGGCGGCGGAUGCGGGCGGGAGAGUGCCGGACGGCACCGUCAUUGUCGCCCCGCCAAGACGCAUCGAAGAAGGACCAGGAUCUCACCCUCGUCCCUUCUGGAUGCACCUCCCCAGUGAGUUCCUCCUGCCUAAUUCAGCUCCCUUUUCCAUCUAAUUUCAUUCUUGUUUCACAUGUUGGUUUGGUUGGCAAGAGACGUUGCGCCGCCGACUGCAGUAGCCAGGGUUGGCGUUGGUGAUGUCUGUAGUAUUUUCGUCCUCGCCAGUCACACAAUUCCUAGGUUAUGGGACUGGAUCUCCAUUUCCAAGAUUCUUAGCUGAUAAGUAUAUUGUGCGGAAAAAUCUCUACUGAAUGACAAAUCCAAGCAAUCUGGAUACUCCAUGGGACAAAGUUGAAGCUUUGUACAUCACUUCUCUACCUGUUUAUUAAUGUUUCUUCAUGUUUGGCAGUGAUCUGGGUUUCCAUGUACUUGAUAGAUGCAUUCCUUAUCUUUAUGUGUUCCAUCUAUGUAUAUAUGUUUCUGCCCAUAAAUGUAUUUAUGAGCUUGCUCCGUUUUUACUGCUUUCCUAUGUCAAUUUGAAAAGUACCCUUUAUUCCCCUAAAAAGGGCUAUACAUGCAUUUAAACGAGUGCACAUUUUCUAUAAACAUAAGCAUUGUCUUUACCCCACCGCUCUCUGGUGUGCAGCGACGAAGAUUUCAUGCUCAACCUCCCUCACGGCCCCAGGGAAGACUAUGAUAACACUAAGAUUAUCAAGAAAGGAUUCAGGGCUUUUUUUGAAUCCAGAUUAUCACACAUGAUGCAAAAUUAACAACCACGACUUUGAAAUAUGGAUGAUGAUGCUUAUUAUGUGCUAGAAAUCAAAUAUGUAAAGGAGAAGAUAAUGUUUGCGAAGGAGAGGGGAGAGAGAUACAGGUUGAUUCUGGGUAAACUUUGCUUAAUUUAUUGGAGAAAAUGCUCGAUAGAUCUCAUGGAUGGAUGAGGUUGUGGCAGUAGUUCUCGGGUGCAAUAUCUACCUUGAUAGAGUGAUCAACCAGGGCACAUUAGAAGCAGAAGAAGAGGAAACGUUUGGGCCGUCUAUGGCGUUGAAGAUUCAGUGUUUCUGUCUUGUGUACAUGCACGGCCAGUUCAGUAACUAGAUGGCCUUUUCUACUGUACUGGUGCUGCUACUUUUCACAUGCUAGCUUCUUUGGAAAGCGCCAACAGUGUGUACAACAUGUAAAGAGUCCAUCUUGAAGGAACAGAAGCAGAAGUAUGGAGCUGAUGUAUUAAUGGUCAAUCAAGGAAUUCAGUCUCGAGGAGCUUAACUAAUGAUGUGUGAGUUGAGCCUUAGCUCAUUUUCAAAGUAACGGAAGUACAAGAGAUUACUUGAAAAUACACAUUUUUUCAAUGCGACA